rnacentral:pre_miRNA from 1 species
UUGAGGCGGAGUUCUGUCAUACACUCGGACUGUGCUACCUGGGGUCAGUGCAUCACAGAACUUUGUCUCGAG